UUCGCAAUGCCCGAAAGGGUGACGAAGCGACGCCGCGUGGGUGAGGAAGGCCUUCGGGUUGUAAAGCCCUGUCAGGAGUUAAGAAAUGUAAGUGUGCUAAUAUCGCAUUUACUUGACGAAGGCUCCAAAGGAAGUCACGGCUAACUCUGUGCCAGCAGCCGCGGUAAUACAGAGGUGGCAAGCGUUGUUCGGAAUUAUUGGGCGUAAAGAGCACGUAGGUGGGUUUGUAAGUCAGAUGUGAAAGCCUCCUGUUCAACGGGAGAAUUGCAUCUGAAACUAUUGAUCUUGAGUAUAGGAGGGGAGAAUGGAACUUCUGGUGGAGCGGUGAAAUGCGUAGAUAUCAGAAGGAACGCCGGCGGCGAAAGCGAUUCUCUGGCCUAUUACUGACACUCAGUGUGCGAAAGCUAGGGGAGCAAACGGGAUUAGAUACCCCGGUAGUCCUAGCCGUAAACGAUGGGCACUAAGUAGAGGGGUUUU
rnacentral:rRNA from 2 species